rnacentral:rRNA from 1 species
CCUACGGGUGGCAGCAGUGGGGAAUAUUGGGCAAUGGGCGAAAGCCUGACCCAGCAAAGCAGCGUGAGGGAAGAAGGCUCUAGGGGUGUAAACUUCUUUUGACAGGGAAGUGCAGAAGACGGUACCUGUCGAAUAAGCCACGGCUAACUACGUGCCAGCAGCCGCGGUAAUACGUAGGUGGCAAGCAGUGUCCGGCUUUACUGGGUGUAAAGGGCGUGUAGCCGGGCUGAGAAGUCAGGUGGUAAGUCCGGGGGGUCAACCCCCGAACUGCAUUUGAAACUGUUGGUCUUGAGUAUCGGAGAGGCAGGCGGAAUUCCUGGUGUAGCGGUGAAAUGCGUAGAUAUUAGGAGGAACCCCAGUGGCGAAGGCGGCCUGCUGGACGACAACUGACGGUGAGGCGCGAAGGCGUGGGGAGCAAACAGGAUUAGAUACCCGUGUAGUC